GUCAGAGGAUAUGCCAGCAGAUGCAGAGGAAGCAGGAGAUAAACAUGCCAUGCUGAAAGAAGGAUAGAAGAUUCUGGAAAGCAACUUGGAAUGAAGCCGUUUAUGUGAGGACAGUUUCCUGGGUGGCCUUGGACUGAGCCAAUCCCCUGGCUUUCCUGCUUGUAUUUGUCAAAAUAACAAGAAUGUCUAGUGACCAAGACAUCCUGAGAUAAGGAAGAGCUGGCUGAGACUCUGUACUCUGUCCCUGUCCCACGCAGGGACAGGCUGCCUUACCACAACUACAUGCAGCCUGUUACAUUGUCCCAAGGAUCUGGGAGCUGAGAGGGCCAAUUUCUGGGGCUCCUCAACUGCACUACUGAAGUCCCUGAGCGGGAGAGCACGCAUACAAGGCCUGAAACCACAGCCUGAGUGAAGGCUGGUGAGACGCUGAGAUGGGCAGAGCCCUUGCCUCAUAGCUUCUUCCUGGAGAUGCCUGGCUCCAUCUCUACCCUCCCACCCCUUGGGAACUCAGGACACAAAGCCUGUGCAUUCAAGCCCUAUCUACGCUUCCACUAACAGUAUCAUUUUGCUUUAUUGAGUGCCAUCUGCCCAAGUAAAGGAGGACUAACAUCGUGCAUAAGUUUAGACUGGUCUGGACCUUUGAGGCUGGUGGGUGUUUAUGUGUAUGUCUGCUCUUCUCUCGACACACGAGGUUCCGGAGGACUUGCAGCGCUACACAGGGGUUGGAUGGAACUUGCGCCCCAUCUCAAGUUAAGUCGAGUCUUGGGCCGGUGGAGAGCCCGGCCUGUGUGUUCGCAGCUUUCCAGUAGGGGGCGCCCACGCUCCGCGGAGAGGCCGCCGUGGGCGGAGAGGCCCCGCUUAGGCUGGCUGAGACUACCAUUCCUCUGUUCAGAAAAAGAAAGUGAGAUUGUGAAAGGAGAUUGCUUAAUCUUUUAAAAUCCCGGCUCCAUAACACCAAGCCUCUCUUUAGAGUUCAUGAGCACGAGAGGGGUUGCUUUCCCGCAGCUGAGCUGCCUAGAGCCACUCAGAGGCAAGGACUUGGACUCAGUGACUUUUGUCCCUUCAGACAUCCGAAGCUGCCAGGAAGUGUGUGAGCCAAGGUACUGGGCAAGGCCGAAGUUUCAAACCCUCCAUCUGUCCCCACCCCCAUCCUCUUGGCAUUCUGGGAAACAGAAACCUCCUCCUCCUUUCCUGCCUUUCCACUUUCCUGCCUUUCCUCUCUCAGCCCAGAGGCUUCAGAGAUGGCUGGGUGCAUCAGAGGACUCCCUGUAUACUAUCCAAUCACACCACAUCUAGGUCCUGCCCAUUCCCGGAUUUGUGUAUCUGGACAGCCGGACAGUGGGACAGUGAUCUGAGCCAAAGGUGGGGUCUUCCUUCCUUGGCAGCCUGACUCUCAGGAUGUGUCCGGCCGUCAGACACUGCUCUACUCUUUGGGCCCUCACUGUGGGCCAGGCCUUCUGCUGCUUGCUGGGAGUGAGGCAGGAAAUAGGGAAGCCAGGCUUUGUCCCAGGGACUGUGCUUUCCGGGGAGAGGGGGAUGGUCUAACUAGUAAGCACCCCAACAGUUACAGGUGGAGAGGACAGAAGCCACAAGAGCCUUGGGUGAAGAAUAACCCAGAACUAGACAUCUGCACUCCCAGUGUGUGGGAAGCUGGGACUGAAAAAUCACAAGUCUGAGGCCAGCCUGGGCUAUAUAGAAAGAUCUUGUCUUAAAAAUGAAUUGAAUUGAUCGA